GGGGUCGACUGGUUUUGACAGCGAGAUCAAUCGAAAAGUAAGCAUGUCGAGCAAUGAAUCACAUCUCGUAAAACUAAGAUUCAACCUUUAAUAGGCGAGAAUAACUACGCUCUAGCUGCAUAAGCGACUGAAUUAUAGUAAGUCACUGCCUAGUCUCAACCAGGUUGAGAAGCCGGAUGUCUCUUGAAAGCCCUUGUUGACGGCGUUCAAACCCGAGGCACCAUAAAGGUCAACAUCGAAGUCUGGAGGUUCCGGUCAGAUUUUUCAAUAAAGGAACUAAGGAAUGUGUGGGCGGUUUUCAGUCAGUACAUUUUCGAAAACUAAAUGAUAACUAAACAUGUAGAAGGCUCUUCUAUUGCUUGUAUGGACGAGGGUUCGAUUCCCUCCGACUCCACUU
rnacentral:tmRNA from 1 species